UGGGGAAUUUUGGACAAUGGGCGAAAGCCUGAUCCAGCAAUGCCGCGUGUGUGAAGAAGGCCUUCGGGUUGUAAAGCACUUUUGUCCGGAAAGAAAUCCUUGGCUCUAAUACAGUCGGGGGAUGACGGUACCGGAAGAAUAAGCACCGGCUAACUACGUGCCAGCAGCCGCGGUAAUACGUAGGGUGCAAGCGUUAAUCGGAAUUACUGGGCGUAAAGCGUGCGCAGGCGGUUUGCUAAGACCGAUGUGAAAUCCCCGGGCUCAACCUGGGAACUGCAUUGGUGACUGGCAGGCUAGAGUAUGGCAGAGGGGGGUAGAAUUCCACGUGUAGCAGUGAAAUGCGUAGAGAUGUGGAGGAAUACCGAUGGCGAAGGCAGCCCCCUGGGCCAAUACUGACGCUCAUGCACGAAAGCGUGGGGAGCAAACAGGAUUAGAUACCCUGGUAGUCCACGCCCUAAAACGAUGUCAACUAGUUGUUGGGGAUUCAUUUCCUUAGUAACGUAGCUAACGCGUGAAGUUGACCGCCUGGGGAGUACGGUCGCAAAGAUUAAAACUCAAAUGAAUUGACGGGGUCAUAGCUGUUUCCU
rnacentral:rRNA from 1 species